rfam:Colletotrichum incanum strain MAFF 238704 contig232, whole genome shotgun sequence.
GGCCGGCUGGCCUAAUGGAUAAGGCGUCGGAUUCCUAUGAGGAAUACAAACUCAUCCGAAGAUUCUGGGUUCGAGUCCCAGGUUGGUCG